CCUCCGCCUCCGACCGACCCGGUGGAGAAUUAAGCCACUGCGAGGGACGCGCGCGGUGUACCGGGCUUCGGCGGUGCCAGCCUGCCAGUCUUCACGGGGCACCUUCAGGGUGCCGGCAGCUCUGCGAGGGCGUCCCACUACACGGAAAUCGGCCCCGCCGUACGCCUGGGAACCGGCUCGGGCUGCUGUUGAGCGGCUCCGCAGGGAACCUGGGGAUGAAGGCGGGACGCCGAAGAGGAAGCUGGAAGGAUUGGCUCAGGAAAUACCCCGGGACCCGGAGACAGGAAACCUGGCUUUUUAACCUCUCAGGAGACUUCAGAGAUUAUGAAGGGCACCAUACCCCCUUCACAGUGGAAAAGGCAAAGACCCUUCCAGAAGCCAAGAGAGAGGCACUUCCAGUGGAUUUGAAUCCUGGUUGGAGUGGUUAGAGAGGCUGAAAACAGCAGAACCGGUCCCCAGCAACCGAGGUCCCCUCCAAGAAGCACUGAAAAAUACUCCAAUAUCUGGACAUACUACAGUUUAACCAUUCACCACUCCCUUGUAAUCUUGGUUGCUUCCAAGGAAUCUUGGUUGCUUCCAAGCUUUCUCAAUUGUGAAGAAAACAGCAGUAAAUAUCCAUGUGCAGGUUUUUGUGUGGACGUAAGUUUUCAACUCCUUUGGGUAAAUACCCAGGAGAACAACUGCAGGAUUGUUUGGUAACAGUAUGUUUAGUUUUGUGAGAAAACUCCCAAACUGUCUUCCAAAGUGGCUGUACCAUUUUGCAUUGCUACCAGCUAACAAAAGUGCUUGA